AACCUAAUGAAUGUUCUUUUAAUCUUACACAUCUUAGUGGUUUUCUCAAAUGGAAAUUUCUCCUUGUUAGUUUCCUUAGAGGAAAACACAUUUGCAUAAGAUUUUUGGCAUGAACUUUUUAGCCUAGAAUUUAUAGAUAGUUGAUGAAUACUUUUUAAAUAGGUAAUAGAAAGGUGUGUGUUUUCUCCAUCUUCAUUUUGAGGUACAUAGGAAUAUAGGCUUUGGAAAAUGCUCUGUAAAGAUGCUAAGUGGUAUUGUGUUUUUUAUUCCAACUUGACUAGGUAUCUCAGGACCUGCUUGCUAUGGAAUAAUAGAGAAAGUUGUGACGUUUUAUCUGAGAACGUGUUAUCCAUAGCAAUCAGAUAGCUAAUUCCAAGGAAUUUUGUAUUUAUCUCUUCCUUAAAGGUUAGAUAAAACUGUGCUGUGAAUUCAUCCGUGGCAAAUUGCUAAUCCUCCUUUUCAUCUCUUUGUUGGAAAUUUGUUUGUUUUCUUUAUUUAGCUAAAGGAACCAUCCAUUUCUUUGACUUUCAGACUUGUCACAGAUUUGCAUUUUUCUCUUAGUCUCUUCUGGGUUUGUGAUUGUGCAUCUUUUCUUGUUCCAAAUCUUGUGUAUUUUUGUGCUCCCUCAUUUUUUGUUUAAUUUUAUUUUAUUGAUCUUUUAAAAGAACCAUCUUUUAGAUUUAUGUGUGCUUUUGGUUAUGCUUUGACUUUUUAUUUCAUUCAUUUUAGUUUUUGUCUUAAUUUGCUUUUCCUAAUUUCUUUUUGUUUGUUUUUUCAUAAUUUCUGAAGAUGAAUACUAAGUUCCUUUAUUAGUUAUCAUGUUUAAUAUUGAAAGCAUUUAAAGGAUACAUUUUUCCCCUAAAUAUAGGUUUAGCUGGAUUUCAUACAGAUUGGUGCAAAGUUCUCUUCACUGUUUCCUGAUUUCAAAAGUGAAGUGAAGAAGGCAGGAUACCUAUUAUCACACUUUAAAGAAAAUAUGCAGAAAUAGAAACUUCAAGGUCAAAGGUCUCUAAUCUUUUUCAUUUUAUUUUAGGUGAUAAUUGGGAAUUGGCAGGGGAACCCUAUUACAGUGUUCAUAAAGAUAUCCCACCUGGAUAUCAGAGGUUGAGUUAAUAUUUAUGGGAAGUUGUCGGGGGGAGAGGGAAUAUAUUGAAAAGGCUCGGCUGAUGAUGCACCUUGGAAUACUGUUAAACUCAAUACAUUACUGUUUUAUAAACAGUUUUUGUGUUAAGAAUGUUGGUACAAAAUCUUUGCACUGGUCAGGUGUAUUCAAGGAUUUUUUUUUCUUGUAAAGACAAAAAUUUUUAAUUUUGAAGAAGUAUUUAUAUUAGUAUAGUUAGUAUAGGCGGAGAGUAGUGUUGUCUUCAUUUGGUAAAUAGUAGUAUAUUCUAGGUAAGUGAAUGAACAUGGUUUAUCUUACAUGCCCUGAAGCCUUUUCAUAAGCACCUUACUCAGUUUUUUAAUAAAAGUAAAAUUAUUUAAGAAUAAUAAACACUUUGUGGAAAAUUACAGCUUAAAAAUUUAUUUUUAAAUACUUAACACCCAUAUACCAUCUUCUAGAAUUACUAAUUGUGUUAACCAUUCUGCUACAUUUGCUUUCUCUUUGUGCGUUCCUCAGAAUUUUUCUUUUUCAAUUUUAUCAUUCUUAAUGCUUUCUAUUUUAAAUUCCUGCUUGUAUGAUGUUAAUAUUUCUUCUCCUAUUCUUUUUCGUUUGAAUUACCUGGUAUUUCUUACAUUUAAUGUGUCUCUCUCUUGAAAAUGGAAUGUAGCUGUAUAUUAAUUUUUACCUAAGUGAAAGUCUUUGUCUUUUAAGAUGAUGCAUAUGUUGAUUUUAUUCCUCCUACCUUAUCUAUUUUUCAUUUCUCUUUUUUUGUGUUCCUUAUUACUGCUAGUUAUCAAAUUGUGAUUCAUUCCUUUUACCCCUUGUUAUCCUAGAAAUUCUGUUAUAAUUCCUGUUCCACUAAUAGUUGAUACACUUUUUUCUGUACUCACCAUAUUCAUUUUUCCAGUGUACCUACUACUUACUUAUUGACUAUCUCGUUUUCCGACAUUUUACAUUUACAACAAUAGUAAAAAAUCUCUUAUCUGACUGUUGUGUGCAUUGACAGCGUAAAUCUGGCAGUGACGAGUGCUGAGGAUUGAGAUGAGAGUGAUGCUGGCUGUGAUGGUUAAGGCUAUGUGUCAGCUUGGCUGGGCCAUGAUUCUCAGUGGUUUGGAAGUUAUGUAAUGAUGUAAUUUGGCAGUUAUAUAAUGGUGUAGUCAUCCUCCACUUUGCGAUCUGAUAUGGUCAUCCUCCGUUUUCACAUAAUGCUGAUUUUCGCAUAGCGACAUAGUCUUUGGAACCUAACCAUGUUGGUAAGUGAUGAGUGGGGGUAUUUGAAAACUAGAUUGUUAGCCCUCACUCCAGCAAAAUGAGACUUUUAGAUAGAUUACUUUUACUUCUUUUCUUUCUCCCUCACCAACCACAGAGGAUUUUAGAACAUUUUUCUCUAACACAAAUUUUAGGUUUUGCUCAGUUAAUUUAGUUCUUUGGGUUGUAGAAUUUCGCUUGCAGUUUUAUCCAAUAUUAAGAAAGCCUCAAGGAGUCCCUGGGUAGCACAAACGCCUAAGCGCUUGUCUACUAGCUGAAAGGUUGGUGGCGUGAACCCUCCCAGAGACACCUCGGAAGACAGGCCUGGCGACCUGCUGCUGAAAGGUCACAGAAAACCCUGUGAAGCAGUUCUACUCUGCACAUGUGGGGUCGCCAUGAGUCAGAAUUGACUCAAUAGCAGCUAACAAGGACAACAACAAAAUAAACCCUCACCGGUGUUCUUUUGGAUAGAAUUUGCCUGGUAUAUCUUUUUCCAUUCUUUUAUUUUCAUGAAUGGGACAAGUAAUUCAUUUAGAAGUAUACUUUAAAAAAAAAAAAAAAGAUAA